rnacentral:rRNA from 1 species
UGGGGAAUAUUGCACAAUGGGCGCAAGCCUGAUGCAGCCAUGCCGCGUGUAUGAAGAAGGCCUUCGGGUUGUAAAGUACUUUCAGUCGGGAGGAAGGUGGUAAGGUUAAUAACCUUGGCAAUUGACGUUACCGACAGAAGAAGCACCGGCUAACUCCGUGCCAGCAGCCGCGGUAAUACGGAGGGUGCAAGCGUUAAUCGGAAUUACUGGGCGUAAAGCGCACGCAGGCGGUUGAUUGAGUCAGAUGUGAAAUCCCCGGGCUUAACCCGGGAAUUGCAUCUGAUACUGGUGAGCUAGAGUGUUGUAGAGGGGGGUAGAAUUCCAUGUGUAGCGAUGAAAUGCGUAGAGAUGUGGAGGAAUACCGGUGGCGAAGGCGGCCCCCUGGACAAAGACUGACGCUCAGGUGCGAAAGCGUGGGGAGCAAACAGG